AAUAAGUACAUUUUUUAGUUUUUAGAUACAAUAUUUGAUUCUUCGUUUUAUUUAAAAAUUUUCUAUGAUUAAACUUUUUAUUGUUAUUAGACGAUAAAAUAUGAAGUAUACUUUAUUCGUGAUUAAUUUUUAAAAGUUUUUUUAGAUAAGAUGGAUUAUCAAACGCUGGACACAUAAACU
rnacentral:pre_miRNA from 1 species